AGUAACACGUGUGCAACCUGCCUUUAUCUGGGGGAUAGCCUUUCGAAAGGAAGAUUAAUACCCCAUAAUAUAUUAAUUGGCAUCAAUUGAUAUUGAAAGCUCCGGCGGAUAGAGAUGGGCACGCGUAAGAUUAGCUAGUUGGUGAGGUAACGGCUCACCAAGGCUGCGAUCUUUAGGGGGCCUGAGAGGGUGAUCCCCCACACUGGUACUGAGACACGGACCAGACUCCUACGGGAGGCAGCAGUGAGGAAUAUUGGACAAUGGGUGAGAGCCUGAUCCAGCCAUCCCGCGUGAAGGACUAAGGACCUAUGGUUUGUAAACUUCUUUUAUACAGGGAUAAACCUACUCUCGUGAGGGUAGCUGAAGGUACUGUAUGAAUAAGCACCGGCUAACUCCGUGCCAGCAGCCGCGGUAAUACGGAGGGUGCAAGCGUUAUCCGGAUUUAUUGGGUUUAAAGGGUCCGUAGGCGGGUCGAUAAGUCAGUGGUGAAAGCCUGCAGCUUAACUGUAGAACUGCCGUUGAUACUGUCGGUCUUGAGUGUAGUUGAGGUAGCUGGAAUGAGUAGUGUAGCGGUGAAAUG
rnacentral:rRNA from 1 species